rnacentral:rRNA from 1 species
AGAGUUUGAUCAUGGCUCAGAACGAACGCUGGCGGCGUGCUUAACACAUGCAAGUCGAACGCGAAAGGGACUUCGGUCCCGAGUAGAGUGGCGCACGGGUGAGUAACGCGUAAGUGAUCUACCCCUGUAUCUGGGAUAACUGUGGGGAACUGCAGCUAAUACCGGAUACGUUCAUGUUCUUGCGAGUAUAUGAAGAAAGAUGGCCUCUGAUUCAAGCUAUUGUACAGGGAGGAGCUUGCGUACCAUUAGCUAGUUGGUAGGGUAAUGGCCUACCAAGGCAACGAUGGUUAGCGGGUCUGAGAGGAUGAUCCGCCACACUGGAACUGAAACACGGACCAGACUCCUACGGGAGGCAGCAGUGAGGAAUAUUGCGCAAUGGGGGCAACCCUGACGCAGCGACGCCGCGUGGAUGAUGAAGGCCUUCGGGUCGUAAAAUCCUGUCAGAUGGGAAGAAGUGUGCGAUGGCUAAUACCUGUUGCAUUUGACGGUACCAUCAGAGGAAGCACCGGCUAACUCCGUGCCAGCAGCCGCGGUAAUACGGAGGGUGCAAGCGUUGUUCGGAAUUACUGGGCGUAAAGCGCGCGUAGGCGGUUUGUUAAGUCAGAUGUGAAAGCCCACGGCUCAACCGUGGACGUGCAUUUGAAACUGGCAGACUUGAGUAUUGGAGGGGGUGGUGGAAUUCCCGGUGUAGAGGUGAAAUUCGUAGAUAUCGGGAGGAAUACCGGUGGCGAAGGCGACCACCUGGCCAAAUACUGACGCUGAGGUGCGAAAGCGUGGGGAGCAAACAGGAUUAGAUACCCUGGUAGUCCACGCCGUAAACGAUGAGAACUAGGUGUUGGGACGGUUGAUCGUCUCAUUGCCGCAGCUAACGCAUUAAGUCUCCCGCCUGG